GCUGGGUGUGGUGGUGGGCGCCUGUAAUCCCAGCUACUCGGGAGGCUGAGGCAGGAGAAUCGCUUGAACCCAGGAGGUGGAGGUUGCAGUGAGCCGAGGUUGUGCCACUGUACUCCAGCCUGGGUAACAGAGCGAGACUCUGUCUCAA
ensembl:misc_RNA Metazoa_SRP Metazoan signal recognition particle RNA